rnacentral:misc_RNA from 1 species
AAGAGUGUAAUAACUCCCACACCCAUGUGAACAUACCUCAUGUUGCCUCGGCAGGUCGCCCCUCCCCGUAGGCCCUACCCUGUAGGCCCUACCCGAAGGCGCGGGUACCCCUGCCGGCGGCCCACGAAACUCUGUCUCAUCGUUGAAUUCUGAACCUAUAACUAAAUAAGUUA